rnacentral:rRNA from 1 species
GUUAAGCGACUAAGCGUACACGGUGGAUGCCCUGGCAGUCAGAGGCGAUGAAGGACGUGCUAAUCUGCGAUAAGCGUCGGUAAGGUGAUAUGAACCGUUAUAACCGGCGAUUUCCGAAUGGGGAAACCCAGUGUGUUUCGACACACUAUCAUUAACUGAAUCCAUAGGUUAAUGAGGCGAACCGGGGGAACUGAAACAUCUAAGUACCCCGAGGAAAAGAAAUCAACCGAGAUUCCCCCAGUAGCGGCGAGCGAACGGGGAGCAGCCCAGAGCCUGAAUCAGUGUGUGUGUUAGUGGAAGCGUCUGGAAAGGCGCGCGAUACAGGGUGACAGCCCCGUACACAAAAAUGCACAUGCUGUGAGCUCGAUGAGUAGGGCGGGACACGUGGUAUCCUGUCUGAAUAUGGGGGGACCAUCCUCCAAGGCUAAAUACUCCUGACUGACCGAUAGUGAACCAGUACCGUGAGGGAAAGGCGAAAAGAACCCCGGCGAGGGGAGUGAAAAAGAACCUGAAACCGUGUACGUACAAGCAGUGGGAGCACGCUUAGGCGUGUGACUGCGUACCUUUUGUAUAAUGGGUCAGCGACUUAUAUUCUGUAGCAAGGUUAACCGAAUAGGG